CCUUUUUGUUCUCUUUCUUAAUGCAGUCGUUCAUAAGAUAAUUUACAAGUACCACAACAUGCUUUUCAGGGGCUCAUAGAUAUAUACUGAUAUAUAUGUUUGUAUUACUCACAAUGUAUUAUUAAAUUCUAUUGUACAAAGAUGUUUCAAUUCUCCUCAAUUCUUUUUUUCAUCAUGUUGUUAAUGAUGCCUCAAUUCUCCUCCGCCAGAUAUGACUGCAGUGGAUCCAGGUGGCCAGAAAGAAGCGCACGACGAAGGUUCGGGCGGCAUCGAUGCCUGGGAAGAAGAGUAUGGCAUUGGCAAGGUCCAAAAUAGAUCUCUGCUUGAUAAGCUUCAAAAUCUCUCUUGUCUCAUACUGUAUGUUGUGAACUAUGUAUACUUGCAGGGCUCUUCAAAAUGCACGCGAGAGGAUUCAACAUCUUGGAGAUAUUCGAAACGGGAAGAAAGAAAUGGCUCAUGUCGACCAUGUUUAGAGCAUGUAGCCUUCUGAUGUGUGAUGUGUUCACAGAUUUCUGUCAUUUGUGGUGUUUAUUAAUGAAGUGAUGUUCACUUCUGAAGAAAAAAUGGUGUUGCAGUCUGGUUGCAUGUUAUUACUAACUUGCAACUACGAUUCAUGUAUGCAUGUUGUAUACAACCACAGCUCGUAUCUGCAUGUUGGAUACGCAACAUAGUUUGUGAAGUAGAAUCCAUUUUGUAUAUGUGCAUAUAUACGUCACAUAUCUGCAUGUGUAUACCUUUCGGAAGUGGGAACCCC
rnacentral:lncRNA from 1 species